rnacentral:rRNA from 1 species
GUGGGGAAUAUUGGACAAUGGGCGAAAGCCUGAUCCAGCAAUGCCGCGUGAGUGAUGAAGGCCCUAGGGUUGUAAAGCUCUUUUACCAGGGAUGAUAAUGACAGUACCUGGAGAAUAAGCUCCGGCUAACUCCGUGCCAGCAGCCGCGGUAAUACGGAGGGAGCUAGCGUUGUUCGGAAUUACUGGGCGUAAAGCGCGCGUAGGCGGUUUUUUAAGUCAGAGGUGAAAGCCCGGGGCUCAACCCCGGAAUUGCCUUUGAAACUGGAAAACUUGAAUCUUGGAGAGGUCAGUGGAAUUCCGAGUGUAGAGGUGAAAUUCGUAGAUAGUCGGAAGAACACCAGUGGCGAAGGCGACUGACUGGACAAGUAUUGACGCUGAGGUGCGAAAGCGUGGGGAGCAAACAGGAUUAGAAACCCGAGUAGUCC